CGAUAGCUAUCGGAUGAAGUGAAAAGCCCGCAACCCGAUUUUUCAUCGGGAGAGGACUUGAAACGGAAAGCAGGACAGCAA
rnacentral:misc_RNA from 1 species